UACGUAGGGUGCAAGCGUUAAUCGGAAUUACUGGGCGUAAAGGGCGCGUAGGCGGCCUUCUAAGUCGAACGUGAAAUCCCCGGGCUCAACCCGGGAACUGCGUCCGAUACUGGAAGGCUUGAAUCCGGGAGAGGGAUGCGGAAUUCCAGGUGUAGCGGUGAAAUGCGUAGAUAUCUGGAGGGAACACCGGUGGCGAAGGCGGCAUCCUGGACCGGCAUUGACGCUGAGGCGCGAAAAGCCAGGGGGAGCAA
rnacentral:rRNA from 1 species